UACGGAGGAUGCGAGCGUUAUCCGGAUUUAUUGGGUUUAAAGGGUGCGCAGGCCGCACGGCAAGCCGGCGGUCAAAUCGCGGGGCUCAACCCCGCCCAGCCGUCGGAACUGCCGGGCUAGAGUGGGCGAGAAGUGCGCGGAAUGCGUGGUGUAGCGGUGAAAUGCAUAGAUAUCACGCAGAACUCCGAUUGCGAAGGCAGCGCACCGGCGCCCUACUGACGCUCAGGCACGAAAGCGUGGGUAUCGAACAGG
rnacentral:rRNA from 1 species